UAGGGUGACCAACCCUCUCAGAUUGCCCAGGACCUAAGGGCUUCCCUGGACACGGGGCUUUCAGUGCUAAAACCAGGAAAGUCCUGGGCAAACAGGGAUGAGUUGGUCACCCUGGGGCUGG
rnacentral:pre_miRNA from 3 species